rnacentral:tRNA from 1 species
AGAGUAGAAGCUUAAUAAAGCAACUAACUGUUAAUUAGAAGAUUGCGAAUCCUAAAUCCCUAUUCGCUUACUCUA